UUUCAGCGAGGAGCGGAGAUUAAAGAAUCAAUAGGUGAUUACCAGUAGAAAGAAAAGAUUAACCAAUUAAAACAGCCUGACGUCACGGCACUGUAUUUUGUCAGGAGCCAAGGAGGCCAAUCAAAUCAUAGCACGGCGCUAACGCCACCUUUAGCCGAAUGUUUUCGGCGGUAUUAGCAUCUUGAUAACGGGCUUUUGAAGUGGGAAUGUGGAUUUCUCCAGUUAAUCAAACAAUUUGAUUCACCUGUAACAAGUCAAAGUUAAACCUAAACAACAUCUGCGUACACAGAGAGAAAACUAUUCAGACUUUUAACAUCAAGAAUGUGGCUAGCUGCUAGCACUAAUCUACAGUAGCCGUUUUGCUAGCUCGGUCCGGUUUAUCAGAUAAAGUGCCAGUGGGGAAUUCUAUGACGUUUAUUGACCACGUCACCGCCAGACACACAGAAGAAUGACCUGCGUACGUCUUCUACAUGGCCUUUUAGCUAAAGAUGUCUGCGGCCGAUGAAGUGAACGUCGCUCUUCAUAAGCACAAAGCGGUUUCUGGGUUUCUCGGCCGCCUGCUCCCUCGUCGCUCAGAGGCGCUCAGAGACAUUAAAGAGUCCUACCUGCUUGUUUUGGCAGCAGUGAGGCCGAACGCUCUGGCCGUGGGCUAAAACCCGAACCCUGCAACAGCGAGGACACAGUCGGAGCAGAGAUCCAUGGGAGAUGAGCAGGCUCCACCGUGAGCGGGGGUGCGUGUCCACCUCUGCCCUGAGCCUCUCUGGCCUCUGGCCAGCAGCCGGUGAUGGAGUCCGACCGACCCUCGACCCUCGAGCUGCAGCAGGUGGCAUCAGAUGCGUGAGCACAAAAUGAGCUCCGACAGCGGAGGAAACAUCCUGCUCUGAGGAAGUGCAAGACUGCCCUCUGGCAGAGCUCUUACCUGAGAAGGAAGAAAAGGCAGCGGCAGACCAGCUCCACCUCCAGGCCCUGCUGGAUGUAGCUGCCAAAGAGCUUCAGCAGUUCUGGGACGUAGGGGAAGGGUAAGACCAGCAGGGAAACCUCCAACUCACUGGGGAUCAAACACAACAGACAGACAGCCACUCGGUGAGUGUAGGGUAGAUGGAGGCAGAGCUGUGUGGGCAGAGUCAGACAAAGCUCUCACCUGGACCUGACCUUCUUUAUGACGUCUAGAACGUAGCAGGACGGCUGAAACGCAGAGAGAUCACACUCAGUUAACUGGAAACAAGCGGACGCUCACUCAUCACUGCUCCACUUACUGAAACGUUGCCGAAGGCCACCAGGAUCGGGUUGGCUUUGGGUGGAGGAAGCUGAAACACAGCAAACGUAUACAUUUUAUUGGUAUAUAUCUGUUUGGACAUUUUUAGGCUCCACACCCUAUGCUCAGUGGACAGUAGCAUUACUGGAUAAUGUCUCUACCUCUUUGCCUGCAUUCUCACAAGCAUAUUUAUGCUCCUCCAUCUUCAUGGUUUCCUCUUUGUAAAGCUCCAAGGCUUCCAUUAUUCGCUCUGCCUGCAAAGAGGAUCACAUAGCAGCAGGAAGAUCAGUGAGGAUGACAAAGGUUUGCUGAAUCAAAUCUGAAUCGCUACGUCAGUGUUUUAGAGUCAUCGACAGCUUAACUCAAAGGUUUGAGGCAAUGCUGCUCUAACAUAUACAAACAUUAAAUGAACUCACAGCUUUGACUGUCUCCACGGUUUUCUUUCCAGCUGGUGCAGCCUCUCCCUGAGUCUCCCCCGGCACCUGUGGAUGAAAUCCAGUUAAUGCAACAAUCUGGACUUGGUCCAUUUCCGCCACCAAAAUAUCAACUACACUGUUCUACAUAGUUUUAUUACAGACCACUACUAGGCUAUUUCCUUCUAAUAUAGUGUAAGUAGAGCCCAUUGAAAACAAGUACUUACCACGGGUAUGUCUCCUUUAGCCAUGCUCUCCUCAUACUCUGCUUCCCUCGCCUAUAUGAAUAUGAAAAACUCAAAUCAAACCAAGGUACAAGUCUCCUUUAAAUGUGUAGGCAAGUCUGGUUUGUCUCACCAUCUCCCGCUCCUCCUCCAGGAUGAUGGGCUCCCUGGUUCUCUCCCAGAGACGGAGGGACUUAUCAUGGGAUGACGACACAAUGUGGUCGCCGUUGGGGCUGAUGGUGAAACACCAAACCUCUCGAUGGUGUCCCUGUGAGACAGCGAGGACAGGUUACUAAUGCCACGCUGGAGUAAGGCUGUCUGAGCGUAAAUAUAACACAGAGGAGAUCAUCACCUCUAGGGUUUGGAUCUGCUCAAACUUGUCUGCAUCCCACUGUUUGAUCUUCUUGUCCUUCCCCGCUGUGAAGAACAGAUGAGUCUUGGGGACAAACUGGAGGAACAUGACACUGUGGAGAGGGAAGCGUGAAGGAGGUCAGGCAGGCAAAUCUGGGAUUAUUUAAAAUCAGAGAAGACAUAACAAAGACAAAACUAAAAUGAAUUAGUAAAGGCAGAAAAGAAUACGGCACAUCACAGAAUGACGUUAGUAAGAGUGAAGCACUGGUCAAAUGGGAAAAAUAAGCAAACAAGCCAAAAGAAAAAUAUACUGAAACUAAACAAACUACAACUGAAAGCAGAGAAAUAAAACAAGACGGGGAAAGUCAGGUGAUCCACCGAGAAAAUGGCAGAAAAUCAUUGGACGCGGAUGAAGUUGGAGCUGAAACCUCACCAGCUCAGAGAAUGAUGGGCACAUUCUUGCAGCUGCCCACUAAACCUGAGGCUGUUUGCUGUGCGUACCUGUCAUCGUGAGCGAACAGAGAGCGGUGACAGUCACCGAAGUCCAGACCCCAGAUCUUCACGUUUCGGUCAGCGGAGCCGGUGGCGAUAAGUGCGCUGUCCUGGUGGACAGAGACCAAGAGACUAAGUCGAAUCUACAGGCUGGUGCAACCUCAGGACAACUUCCUAGUUACCACUAACAACGGCUUCCAACCCGGUUGAUCUGAUAUUAAAGGUUUAUGACAAUUACUCACAUGUGAGAUGUCCAGACAAAGAACAGGCAGCUUGUGUCCAUACAUAGACAAGAAGAACUAAAGCACAGAGGGAGGAGGGUGCAGUUAAGAUGAAAGCAGAACAUGCACUGCACAAUAAAUCUGCACUAACGGUGGAUGUACCUUCAGUGUGUCUGUGUAGAAGACCUUUACGGUGCAGUCCAACAGAGACACGGCCAGCAGCCUGUGAUCGGGGGAAAGCUUCACACACAGAACGUCCUCCUCCAGCUGCAGAGUGCGAGUGUGUUUCACCGUCAGCCUCCUGCAUCACACACACAAAUGGAAUGUGGUGGAGGUGAUCAUUAAAAGAGAUUUGCAUAUUCUGCUGCAACAUGUUGACUUACUUCUGAUCAGUCUCCUGGUCCUUUAUCAGUUCAAAAUCCCAGAACUUAACCGUCUUAUCUGCACUUCCUGUGACGAUGCCCCUCUACAAAACAAGCAAUGACCAAAAACUGUAAUUCAAACUCUGAAUAAUGUGAAUUUAGAAAACAAAAUACAAAAAGCAUGAAACAGCGUGACAGAUGAGACAAAGUCGGGUUUACCUGGUCUGGGGCCAGGCACAGGGACCACAGGGCUCCAUCAUGAGCUGCUACAUUCUCCAGAAGGCUUCCUGAGGCCAAGUCAAAGAUCUGUAGCUUGCCGCUCUGACAGAUGGAACAACAUUCAGAGAACAGGAGGAUGAGGAAGAGCAGAUUUUACCUCCACAUGUCUACAGCCUCACCAGGCAAGCGCUUAAAUCCCACCACGUUGCUUCUGCUCACCUUAGUUCCCAGGACGAUCUGUCUGUCUCCAGGUACAAAGAGCGAGCACAGAGCAUAGUCACAGGCCAUGGUGCGAACCACCUGCAGAGUGGACCUGGAGGUCGGACAUCCCAUUAGAAGACGGAUCAAUAAACACAACAGCUCUGCAUGUUUUGCAUUGACCGUGUCACACCUGUUCCACACUUUGACUGUGUCUCCGGAGGCGGAGAGGACGGCCAGGUUGUCCGAGCUGAAGGCCAGCGUACGGACGUCGGUGCGGUGGCCGCCCAGCGUGAGGCGAGCCGUCUUGUUGGCUGUGGGGGUCUGGUCGGCUGUCUUCAGGCUGUAGGUCUCUAUGGUGUUGUUCUGCAGCAGCAGCGCCACCUUCAGCUCACCGCCUGGACAUGACAGAAAGUCCACCCAUCUGGGAGGAGACGGACAGCGUGAGCAUUACAUUUAGUUAACUGGAUGAAAACACUGAGGAGACCACUGCUUUGUCCUUGGGACACUUACCGGAUCUUAGAGGACACCUUGAUGUUGGUCAGCCUGAUGAUCUCGUCCUUCAGCAUCCUCUCCACCACCGGCACUGCUGCCUCCUCUCCUGUAUCUUCCUGAGCUCUACAGCAGAGGGCAACAAACACAACAAAUGUUAGCAUGCAGCACCUUCAAAUCUGAUGUCAGGAAACAAACGCACAGAGGAAAAACGACCCAACAGGUUUGAGUUUAUGUAGAAACAGGUGUUACCCGACAGCACAGAGAAGAUCUAUUAUUUAUAUUUCUAUCCUGAAUAUUCAUCCGUUUCUGUCAAGCUGCACUGCACUGGUGGCUAAAGAAGUUAUUUUAUGUGGUUUGUAUUUCUGUGAAUCGUCUAAAGGAACUGAACACAAGCAGUUUUUCCUGCGCCUACUUUGCGGCCUUCUUUUUUGCUUUCUUCAGCUUUUUGGACAUUUUCUUCUCCACUUCCUCUUGUGACAGCACCGUGAACAGUUCCAGGACUGAAUCAUUGCCCUGAUGGAGGAAGAUGAUGGGAUAAAGAAUGAACAAUGAAAGAAACACAAACAACAAUCAAACAAAUACAUCAGUAGUGUUCUUUCCAAAACCAAUAAUGACGUAUAGUCUGUAUUUAAUGUGAAGCGUUUUGAUGCAUUCAUCAGUACAAAGGGUUUUUCAGUGUUAUGUUUAUGUUACGUUUGGUGGUUUUUCGUGACACUGUGUUUUCAGUGAAGGAAGCAGCAGAUGCCUCAGCACUCACAUGGCAGGCGAUGACGCUGGCCCUGGUGUCUGCUGUCAGGGAGACAACUCUGUCUCUGGCCUGUCGGAGGAUGGAGCCGGCUUUCUUACAACUCAAGAUCCGCUGAGACACAAAAAAGGAAAACUGGUUCAGAAACGUUCAGGAAAGUGCAUUAAAGCAUCUCGAUGCGUCAGGUUUGCCUUUGUCCACAGUCAUAUUCUUUGACUUAAGUCCUACCUCUUCCACACUUUCCUCCUGCUCUUCCUCGUUGUCUUGUUCAUCAUCUUCAUCCAGUAGAGUUUUACCCUUCUUCACUUUGGGCUCACCCUUUGCUUCUUCCUAAGCGGAACAAAACCACACAGAUACUGAUAACGACAAUUUUGCUAUUCUUUUCUUUUCAGGGAAAAUAUAAUUUGUGUUCUCCUUCUGUUGGCACCUGUGCUCAUUAACAACAGAGCUGCGUCCCUUCUCACCUCCUGCAGGUAGUUGAUGUCCCAGGCCCGAAGUUCACUGUCAGCUGAGCCUGUUAACAGUCUGGUCUCCUGGUUCAACAGUAGCAUGCCCCACACCUAACACACACACAACAGAUAAUGAUGAUUACAACAAUGUGGACUCAAAUAAAGCUGUCCGGUGUUUAUGCCUCCUUCA